GUCCAGACUCCUACGGGAGGCAGCAGUGGGGAAUAUUGCACAAUGGGGGAAACCCUGAUGCAGCAACGCCGCGUGAGUGAAGAAGUAUUUCGGUAUGUAAAGCUCUAUCAGCAGGGAAGAAGAUGACGGUACCUGAGUAAGAAGCCCCGGCUAACUACGUGCCAGCAGCCGCGGUAAUACGUAGGGGGCAAGCGUUAUCCGGAUUUACUGGGUGUAAAGGGAGCGUGGACGGUGAGACAAGUCUGAAGUGAAAGCCCGGGGCUCAACCCCGGGACUGCUUUGGAAACUGCCUGACUGGAGUGCUGGAGAGGCAAGCGGAAUUCCUAGUGUAGCGGUGAAAUGCGUAGAUAUUAGGAAGAACACCAGUGGCGAAGGCGGCUUGCUGGACAGUAACUGACGUUGAGGCUCGAAAGCGUGGGGAGCAAACAGGAUUAGAUACCCCUGUA
rnacentral:rRNA from 1 species